UACGUAGGGAGCAAGCGUUGUCCGGAUUUAUUGGGCGUAAAGAGCGUGUAGGCGGCCUGAAAGGUCAGCUGUGAAAACUCGAGGCUCAACCUCGAGACGUCGGUUGAAACCAUCUGGCUAGAGUCCGGAAGAGGAGUGUGGAAUUCCCGGUGUAGCGGUGAAAUGCGCAGAUAUCGGGAGGAACACCAGUGGCGAAGGCGGCUCUCUGGGCCUUUCCUGACGCUGAGACGCGAAAGCGUGGGGAGCGAACCGG
rnacentral:rRNA from 1 species